CCUACGGGGGGCUGCAGUAAGGAAUAUUGGUCAAUGGACGCAAGUCUGAACCAGCCAUGCCGCGUGGAGGAUGAAGGUCCUCUGGAUUGUAAACUUCUUUUAUUGGGGAAGAAACUCCCGAUUUCCAUCGGGAUUGACGGUACCAGAUGAAUAAGCACCGGCUAACUCCGUGCCAGCAGCCGCGGUAAUACGGAGGGUGCAAGCUUUAUGCGGAUUCACUGGGGUUAAAGGGUCAGGAGGGUGGCAGGUACAAUCUCCGGGCUUACCCCGGAAACUGCCAUUGAUACUAUUUGUCUUGAAUACUCUGGAGGUGAGCGGAAUAUGUCAUGUAGCGGUGAAAUGCUUAGAUAUGACAUAGAACACCCAUUGCGAAGGCAGCUCACUACGGAAAUAUUGACGCUGAGGCACGAAAGCGUGGGGAUCAAACAGGAUUAGAUACCCUAGUAGUC
rnacentral:rRNA from 1 species